rnacentral:rRNA from 1 species
AGUGAACGCUGGCGGUAGGCCUAACACAUGCAAGUCGAACGGCAGCACAGUAAGAGCUUGCUCUUACGGGUGGCGAGUGGCGGACGGGUGAGGAAUACAUCGGAAUCUACUUUUUCGUGGGGGAUAACGUAGGGAAACUUACGCUAAUACCGCAUACGACCUACGGGUGAAAGCAGGGGAUCUUCGGACCUUGCGCGAUUGAAUGAGCCGAUGUCGGAUUAGCUAGUUGGCGGGGUAAAGGCCCACCAAGGCGACGAUCCGUAGCUGGUCUGAGAGGAUGAUCAGCCACACUGGAACUAAGACACGGUCCAGACUCCUACGGGAGGCAGCAGUGGGGAAUAUUGGACAAUGGGCGCAAGCCUGAUCCAGCCAUACCGCGUGGGUGAAGAAGGCCUUCGGGUUGUAAAGCCCUUUUGUUGGGAAAGAAAAGCAGCAGGUUAAUACCCCGCUGUGCUGACGGUACCCAAAGAAUAAGCACCGGCUAACUUCGUG